AUGACACAUAGAAUUUAACAUAAUAUGAGUGUAGGUGGGUAGACAUUAGGAAUAUUGGGACGUUAGAGUAUGAGCAUCAUAAUAAACCCAUCCUAACAAAUAGAUCAAUGAAUCUAAUAAGGUUUUACUACUACAAGGUUAUCAUGCCUCCCCGUAGAAUGACAAGAACAAGAGUUUAUUUAUUUGAAGCAAAAGGGUAUGAGUGUGACUGAAUAUGAAGN
rnacentral:lncRNA from 1 species